GGAGAGAUGGCCGAGUCUGGCUUAAGGCGCUCGACUCGAAAUCGAGUAAGCAGUUGCCUGCUUCCUGGGUUCAAAUCCCAGUCUCUCCG
rnacentral:tRNA from 1 species